CUCGGCUUAGAUAACGAGACCUUGAGAAAGUUAAAAAAAGAUUUGCUUGGUAUAAUUUAUGAAAGUGAGUUCACGAUAGUUAUAUAUAUAUACAUAUAUAUAGGUCUGGACAAGUGUCCUUUAGAGAAUCAAUCAAUUAGUUCCUUCUUUAAGUAUUAUUUUCAGUUUGGUAAGAAGAUGAAACUAUUAUUUCCUCUUCUGGCCCUAGUGGCCUCCUCCUCUGCCUUUAUCUGGAAAGACGAGAUGGUCAAGCCGCUAAGAUCUCUGUGUAUUCCUCUUUUUGGCGUCGCUCAAGUCUGCGCAGAUCCCAACGUUAGUGUUGGCAAGAGAGAGGAAGAUCUCAACCUGGCAGAGAUUGUUGCCGACAUUGGGAAAGUCGUCCACGUCAUUGAUGGAUUCGUUGGAGGUGCAACUGCCAAAAGAGAGGAACAGGACUUAUGCGAACAUAUAGGCUGUGUUAUUUAUUGUACACAAAACGACUCAAUUAUUAAUCACUGCAAAAGAGAUGAAGCACUUAAGUUAGCCGAAAUACUCACUGGCAUUGGAAAAGUCAUUGCCGGAUUCGUUCGAGAAGCAGUUACCAAAAGAGAGGAACAAGACUUGUGUACCACUGCGGGCUGCAUCAAAGCAUGUGAUGAUGGAAGAUUCUAUAAUAUUUGCAAAAGGGACGAACAGCUCAACCUAGCCGAUGUCGUCGCCAACAUUGGAAAAGUCAUUCACGUUAUUGACGGAUUCGUUUCAGGAGCAGCUGCCAAGAGAGAAGAGCAGAAUCUUUGUAUUCCUAUAAAUGGCGUCCCAUUCUGUGGUCCUUAAAAGACUUAAUGACUCCAACUGCACUGUCAUAUAUAUUAUCCAGAUUUGUUCUAUUAAACAUAGAGUCGCAUUUUUAACUUUUUCUUCGUUUGUUUGUUGUCUUCGCGUUCAAACUAGAACACUGGUUCUUACCUAUUUAUUCAGUCACACGUAGAACUACAGAGUUUAGCGGUUAAAAACCCCAUCUUCAAUAUUAUUUUAAAGCAAACUACAGUCACUAAAUUCUAAGAGCGUAGAUAAGGGUGUUUUGAGUUUGUUUAAAACAAAAACUCCAGAUAUUUAAAAAAAAUCUCACAACAGAUGGUUCUAUUUUCAAUAUAAAAUCAAAAGCAAACUACAGUCACCAAAUUUCAUGAGCGUAGCCAAGAAGGGUUACAUAUUUCUAUCAUUCACUUUUCUCAAUUAAUAAAGUGCAGUGAAUAGAUUUGGUUUCUGAACUAAAAUUGUUAAAUAGCAGGAUAAUGCAUUGUAGAUACCCCAGAAUAUGCAUUUUAUUUUGUUUUAAAUACCGGAAAUAAUGCUUGGGUGUCCAUAUAUAUGAAAAGAAUUUAUUAUCUAGCUUUAAGAAAAUUUCAUUAUAAUUACUGGCCGAAAACAAUACGUCACUGAACGAAUCACAGUGUAAAAAAAACUCGAUUUUAAACAAAUGUGCCUGACAUUUACAUAAAAUGAGCAUUCUUUGUCUGUGGCAUUUUACGUCUCAAGGAACUAUCUGUUCCCUUUGCAACUUCUUGUGAGACAAAAGAGGCCAAUCCUUGAUACACAUCUGCGGUAGCAGGUUGGGCAUAUAAGUCCUAACUCAACUGAAUCCAACAACACACCUAUUUAGUGAAGGUAGUACUUUCUUAUGACUUAUUGUAAAUGUACUGAUCUACGCCUUUUUUAAAAAGUAUUAUUUUCUUGUUAAUGUUUUAGUAGUCAUGCUGAGAUAGACCAUCGUUGUCAAACUGAAUCAAAAUUUAUUUGGACCAAUAUAAUCAACUUAUCUUAUCUUUGUUUCGUAAUUAUCGUUUAUUUUUUGAAUAUCUACAGGUAAAAACAUAAAACUGUUAUUUCCCCUCCUGGCCCUAGUUGCCUCCUCCUCUGCCUCUAUCUAGAAGGACGAGAUGGUCAUGCCACUAAGAUCUCUGUGUAUUCUUCUUUUUUUUUUUUUUGGCGUCGCUCAAGUCUGCGCAGAUCCCAAGGUUAGCAAGAGAGAUGAGAAUUCAGCCUCGCCGAGAUAGAACACUGGGAAGGUCGUCCAAGUGUCAGAGGCAGCUGCUAAAAGAUAGGAACAAAACUAUUGCACGACCAUAGGCUGCUUAACAAUAUGUCCAGAUGUCCCAUUGACUUAUCAAUGCAAAAGAGAGGAAGGUUUCAACCUAACCGAUAUCGUCGCCAAUAUUGGAAAAAAUCAUUCACGUUAUUGACGGAUUCGUUUCGGGAGCAGCUGCUAAGAGAGAAGAUCAGAAUCUGUGUAUUCCUAUAAAUGGCGUCCCAUUCUGUGGUCCUUAAAAGACUUAAUGACUCCAACUGCACUGUUAUAUAUAUUAUCCAGAUUUGUUCUAUUAAACAUAGAGUCGCAUUUUUAACUUUUUCUUCGUUUGUUUGUUGUCUUCGCGUUCAAACUAGAACACUGGUUCUUACCUAUUUAUUCAGUCACACGUAGAACUACAGAGUUUAGCGGUUAAAAACCCCAUCUUCAAUAUUAUUUUAAAGCAAACUACAGUCACUAAAUUCUAAGAGCGUAGAUAAGGGUGUUUUGAGUUUGUUUAAAACAAAAACUCCAGAUAUUUAAAAAAAAUCUCACAACAGAUGGUUCUAUUUUCAAUAUAAAAUCAAAAGCAAACUACAGUCACCAAAUUUCAUGAGCGUAGCCAAGAAGGGUUACAUAUUUCUAUCAUUCACUUUUCUCAAUUAAUAAAGUGCAGUGAAUAGAUUUGGUUUCUGAACUAAAAUUGUUAAAUAGCAGGAUAAUGCAUUGUAGAUACCCCAGAAUAUGCAUUUUAUUUUGUUUUAAAUACCGGAAAUAAUGCUUGGGUGUCCAUAUAUAUGAAAAGAAUUUAUUAUCUAGCUUUAAGAAAAUUUCAUUAUAAUUACUGGCCGAAAACAAUACGUCACUGAACGAAUCACAGUGUAAAAAAAACUCGAUUUUAAACAAAUGUGCCUGACAUUUACAUAAAAUGAGCAUUCUUUGUCUGUGGCAUUUUACGUCUCAAGGAACUAUCUGUUCCCUUUGCAACUUCUUGUGAGACAAAAGAGGCCAAUCCUUGAUACACAUCUGCGGUAGCAGGUUGGGCAUAUAAGUCCUAACUCAACUGAAUCCAACAACACACCUAUUUAGUGAAGGUAGUACUUUCUUAUGACUUAUUGUAAAUGUACUGAUCUACGCCUUUUUUAAAAAGUAUUAUUUUCUUGUUAAUGUUUUAGUAGUCAUGCUGAGAUAGACCAUCGUUGUCAAACUGAAUCAAAAUUUAUUUGGACCAAUAUAAUCAACUUAUCUUAUCUUUGUUUCGUAAUUAUCGUUUAUUUUUUGAAUAUCUACAGGUAAAAACAUAAAACUGUUAUUUCCCCUCCUGGCCCUAGUUGCCUCCUCCUCUGCCUCUAUCUAGAAGGACGAGAUGGUCAUGCCACUAAGAUCUCUGUGUAUUCUUCUUUUUUUUUUUUUUGGCGUCGCUCAAGUCUGCGCAGAUCCCAAGGUUAGCAAGAGAGAUGAGAAUUCAGCCUCGCCGAGAUAGAACACUGGGAAGGUCGUCCAAGUGUCAGAGGCAGCUGCUAAAAGAUAGGAACAAAACUAUUGCACGACCAUAGGCUGCUUAACAAUAUGUCCAGAUGUCCCAUUGACUUAUCAAUGCAAAAGAGAGGAAGGUUUCAACCUAACCGAUAUCGUCGCCAAUAUUGGAAAAAAUCAUUCACGUUAUUGACGGAUUCGUUUCGGGAGCAGCUGCUAAGAGAGAAGAUCAGAAUCUGUGUAUUCCUAUAAAUGGCGUCCCAUUCUGUGGUCCUUAAAAGACUUAAUGACUCCAACUGCACUGUUAUAUAUAUUAUCCAGAUUUGUUCUAUUAAACAUAGAGUCGCAUUUUUAACUUUUUCUUCGUUUGUUUGUUGUCUUCGCGUUCAAACUAGAACACUGGUUCUUACCUAUUUAUUCAGUCACACGUAGAACUACAGAGUUUAGCGGUUAAAAACCCCAUCUUCAAUAUUAUUUUAAAGCAAACUACAGUCACUAAAUUCUAAGAGCGUAGAUAAGGGUGUUUUGAGUUUGUUUAAAACAAAAACUCCAGAUAUUUAAAAAAAAUCUCACAACAGAUGGUUCUAUUUUCAAUAUAAAAUCAAAAGCAAACUACAGUCACCAAAUUUCAUGAGCGUAGCCAAGAAGGGUUACAUAUUUCUAUCAUUCACUUUUCUCAAUUAAUAAAGUGCAGUGAAUAGAUUUGGUUUCUGAACUAAAAUUGUUAAAUAGCAGGAUAAUGCAUUGUAGAUACCCCAGAAUAUGCAUUUUAUUUUGUUUUAAAUACCGGAAAUAAUGCUUGGGUGUCCAUAUAUAUGAAAAGAAUUUAUUAUCUAGCUUUAAGAAAAUUUCAUUAUAAUUACUGGCCGAAAACAAUACGUCACUGAACGAAUCACAGUGUAAAAAAAACUCGAUUUUAAACAAAUGUGCCUGACAUUUACAUAAAAUGAGCAUUCUUUGUCUGUGGCAUUUUACGUCUCAAGGAACUAUCUGUUCCCUUUGCAACUUCUUGUGAGACAAAAGAGGCCAAUCCUUGAUACACAUCUGCGGUAGCAGGUUGGGCAUAUAAGUCCUAACUCAACUGAAUCCAACAACACACCUAUUUAGUGAAGGUAGUACUUUCUUAUGACUUAUUGUAAAUGUACUGAUCUACGCCUUUUUUAAAAAGUAUUAUUUUCUUGUUAAUGUUUUAGUAGUCAUGCUGAGAUAGACCAUCGUUGUCAAACUGAAUCAAAAUUUAUUUGGACCAAUAUAAUCAACUUAUCUUAUCUUUGUUUCGUAAUUAUCGUUUAUUUUUUGAAUAUCUACAGGUAAAAACAUAAAACUGUUAUUUCCCCUCCUGGCCCUAGUUGCCUCCUCCUCUGCCUCUAUCUAGAAGGACGAGAUGGUCAUGCCACUAAGAUCUCUGUGUAUUCUUCUUUUUUUUUUUUUUGGCGUCGCUCAAGUCUGCGCAGAUCCCAAGGUUAGCAAGAGAGAUGAGAAUUCAGCCUCGCCGAGAUAGAACACUGGGAAGGUCGUCCAAGUGUCAGAGGCAGCUGCUAAAAGAUAGGAACAAAACUAUUGCACGACCAUAGGCUGCUUAACAAUAUGUCCAGAUGUCCCAUUGACUUAUCAAUGCAAAAGAGAGGAAGGUUUCAACCUAACCGAUAUCGUCGCCAAUAUUGGAAAAAAUCAUUCACGUUAUUGACGGAUUCGUUUCGGGAGCAGCUGCUAAGAGAGAAGAUCAGAAUCUGUGUAUUCCUAUAAAUGGCGUCCCAUUCUGUGGUCCUUAAAAGACUUAAUGACUCCAACUGCACUGUUAUAUAUAUUAUCCAGAUUUGUUCUAUUAAACAUAGAGUCGCAUUUUUAA